rnacentral:rRNA from 1 species
AUGCCUGAGAGGCGCAAGAAAGCCGCGGCCAGCGGUGAGGACCGCAUCAGCACCCUCCCCGACGCGCUCCUGCUGCACACGUUGUCCUUGUUGCCGUCGGAUGAGGCCGUGCAGACUUGCGUCCUCGCCCGCCAGUGGCGCAAUCUCUGGACGUACACUCCCAGCCUGCGCCUCAUCCAUGAGGACAAGCCCAGGUUCAGCAGCGCGGAGCACUUCAACAAGUUCGUGAGCCAUUUGAUCGUCCUCCGUGAUCGCUCCCCUCUUGUAAACUGUGAGAUUGAACUCUAUCCAUUUUAUCCAUAUCCUUUUAAUCCAAAUGGUCCUCCAGUCCAGCUAUGGAUCCAGUACGCCCUAGCAUGCCAGGUUCGCUUGCUCAAUAUUAUUGACAACUGUGGCGACCAACGAUUGCUCCUCAAUGUUCCCUUCAUCUCCUCGUACCUGAUGACCUUACAUCUUCAGAAUGUUACCUUAGAAUCCUCUAUGGAUUUCUCGAGCUGUCUAGUAUUGGAGAAUCUGGAGAUAACAUAUUGCAACAUUUUCAUGCACAAGAUAUCAUCCAAAUCACUCAAGCGUUUGUGCAUCGCAUAUGGUUACUUCCGCACUGAAGUCCGCACUCGGAUCUCUGUCCCGGGUAUUCUUUCGCUGCAUCUAGAAGACGGGCAUGUCAGGACUCCUGUGCUCGAAAACAUGCCAUUGCUAGAGACAGCAUUCGUUAGGUUGGAAGAAAGAUGUUUGGAUCAAUGUGAUAAUGGUGAUGGAAAUUGUGAUCAAGAAAGCUGUGAUGGAUGUUAUGGUUUUCAUGGUCAUUAGAGUGUGCUUCUUAAUGGUUUGUCCAAUGCUAUCAAUCUGGAGUUGAUAUCUCAAGCUGAAAAGUAUAUCUUCAGAAGGGAUGUGGCACGGUGCCCCAUAUUUGGCAGGUUGAAGACUCUCGUACUUAGUGACUGGUGUGCGGCUGUUGAUAUGUACUCCCUCCGUUCCAAAAACGCAAUAGGAGUAGAAGGAAACCAUGUUCCAGCAGAACUAUCAUUUGUAUGCACGCAACUUAAGGUAGCCAACAUUGAAUGUCAAGAGCUCGAUGGGAAGGUUCUGAAAAUUUGGAAUAUUUUGAGGACAUGUGGCGUACAUCCUGAGAAAAUUAGCAUCAAGAUCAAACAUGCAGGCUUUUACCGUAAGUUAACUGUGGUCAUUUCUUCAUGCAUGGUAUCUUUCUGCAGUCACUACAGUCCUUGUUUAAAUCAAACUAAGAAACCAUGUUCUAAUAAUCUUGUUCUAGGAUGUGUUUAA